UACGUAGGGGGCUAGCGUUGUCCGGAUUUAUUGGGCGUAAAGAGCGUGUAGGCGGCCAGGUAGGUCUGGUGUGAAAACUCGAGGCUUAACCUCGAGAUGUCAUCGGAAACCGAUCUGGCUAGAGUCCGGAAGAGGAGAGUGGAAUUCCUGGUGUAGCGGUGAAAUGCGCAGAUAUCAGGAAGAACACCAAUGGCGAAAGCAGCUCUCUGGGACGGUACUGACGCUGAGACGCGAAAGCGUGGGGAGCGAACAGG
rnacentral:rRNA from 1 species